GUUAGGUGAAACUCCCCACGCGGGGGGACUGCAAGCAGUAAGAAUUCAAGGCAUGCUCACUUCUGAUCCCUGCCGUCAAUCCUGCCUUCUGAGCGGUGCGUACCGCGAAAGCAUGCUCAUUUGUCACUUCAUCCCCAGAGCCCUGGCCGGGAGCUGAGCGAGCGUCUAUACCCGCGCUGACUCCUUUUUAAAUUCUUCCUCUCAGCGGGCUCACUGAACCCCUCCCAAGGCUACUGCAGAGGCGGCGCCUAAUAGGUGCUGACUUCCGGCUACAGCUGAGGGGUGGCGGUCGCCCGCGUCUGUGAGCAAGUCGCUCAGACUCCGGGGCAUCUGCUUCCUCCGCACCAGAAACACGCGAGCUCCUCCCGGGAGCCCCUGACGAAUGCGGGUGGGCGCUUAGGGGGCCGCCCCCUGGAGGAGUGACUGCAGCGGGGACGCCGGCGCUGCCGCGGGGACCUCCAGCAGCAGCAGCAGCAGCAGAGGCAGGAACGGCAGGAGAGGCGACGAGGCCAUCACGACGGAGGGGCCAACGUACGACGGCAGAAGCAGCUGCCCCGGGAAAGAGCCGCCUUUAAGCCGGCGGUGGCCCAGCCCCCCUGCCGAACCCGCCCCCUGGUGCCCACGCCCCUCGGGGGCCCGGGCGGCGUCUCUAAGCAUCUCGACUUCUCUCUCUCUUUCCUUCUUUCUCUUUCUCUCUUUCUUCUCUCCUCUCUCUCCCUCUCUGGGUGUACCUUUUCCACCUGAGCUCCACCCUACCCCCACCCCCACCAGGUGCUGGGCCCCCAGUCGCAUGGACCAUGAGCUGCUCUUCGAUCUCCCCCGUCCCUUUCCCGCAAUCAGCCCCGACCAGCCGUGUGAGGCUUGAGCAUCUUGAGCAGAGGUGAGGUGGGGGCUUAGAGACAGAGACACAGCAAGACCGAGAGUUAGGAGGGCCACUCUGGGCCCAGGGAUCCCUCUUGGGGGCGGCCAGGUUGACCUAGCCCCGCCCCGCCUCCCUAGCCCAGAGACCCUGCCUUCCCACCCUGUGCUCUGAUGUGGGUGGGGGUGGCCGAUCCUCUGCCUGAGAGUGGGCAGGGGCUGCCGCAUCCCCGUUCCCUCCCUCUAGCCUGGCCCAGGACCCUUCUUCCCAACUUUCUCCCCCUCCCCCUCUCAGGCUCCCCAGCCCUGAAGCUCCAGAUCCAACAGCGUGGUCCCGUGAGGCUGACUCAGGCUUGGCCACAGCUGGGCCAGAAAGCAGAAGCCAGAGCAGGGAGGGGCACCUCCCUUCUCUUGGUCCCCCACUCCUGGCUUGGGGGUGGGAGAGAAAAAAAUCUGGCAUUUCUUCUUUCUAUCCUCCAGGGCUUGGGGAGAGCAGGCCAUCCCUCCUUUCAGCCAGCUCCCUUGCUGGAGGAGAAGCCGAGUCGGAGCAGUCAUAACUGAAAGCCUAUAGUGUGUACAUGGGGUGGGGGUGAGGGAUCAGCCCGUGGAAGACCCAGGAUGGCAGGAAUCAGCCAGAGCCAGGUUUGCCCUGGGACUGUGCUGGGCACCUCAAGUGGUGGAGCCUCAACUUCCCCUUCUGUAAAAUGGGAGAAGUGAGGUUUGGGAAAUAAAGCUACCAGAGGGAGAGUUGCCCCAGGCUGCGGGUAGAGGUGGCACAUCUGGGUUUGUAAGCCUGGGAAGGUGUGGACAGGACAGCAGUGUGGGAGGGAGGAAAGAAUGGCCCAGAUAGGAGUUCCCAUCGUGGCUCAGUGGUUAACAAAUCCAACUAGGAACCAUGAGGUUGCGGAUUCGAUCCCUGGCCUUGCUCAGUGGGUUAAGGAUCCAGCGUUGCCAUGAGCUGUGGUGUAGGUCGCAGACCUGGCUUGGAUCUGGUGUUGCUGUGGCUCUGGCGCAGGCCGGCAGCUACAGCUCCGAUUAGACCCCUAGCCUGGGAACUUCCAUAUGCCGUGGGUGCAGCCCCAGAAAUGGCAAAAAGACAAAAAGAUUAAAAAAAAAACAAACAAAAAAAAAACAGUCCAGAUAAAGGCGAGAAGGCUGGGAGUGUCAGGGAAGUAACUGAGACAUUCAGACUUUGUAGGGCCUUGACGGGACAAGGGUCUGGAUUGCACGGGAGGAAACACCCAUCCCUGGCCCAGAAAACAGCCCAGUCCCCCAGCCUCCCUAGCCUGGUCCCUUCCAGUUCUGGGGAAACCCCAGCCUGCAUGGCCACAUUCAUGGAAGCUGGGGUUCCCCUGAAGUCCCCAAUAGCUGGACAAUCCCCCAUCUGACCUUUUGGAGCCAUUCACAAAACCCAUUUCCUUUGUAGAAGCUUCUGCAAGACUAAGUAACCCCGCUUGGGGCAACUAGUGGGCGCUCCAUGCUGUACUGGGCAGGACAGAAAAAAUAACAAUAAACAGAAUUGCUACGA